rnacentral:rRNA from 1 species
UACGUAGGGUGCAAGCGUUGUCCGGAAUUAUUGGGCGUAAAGAGCUCGUAGGCGGUUUGUCGCGUCUGCUGUGAAAUCCCGAGGCUCAACCUCGGGCCUGCAGUGGGUACGGGCAGACUGGAGUGCGGUAGGGGAGAAUGGAAUUCCUGGUGUAGCGGUGGAAUGCGCAGAUAUCAGGAGGAACACCGAUGGCGAAGGCAGUUCUCUGGGCCGUAACUGACGCUGAGACGCGAAAGCGUGGGGAGCAAACAGG